ACGGGGUGCAGCAGGCGCGAAACCUUUACACUGCACGAAAGUGCGAUAAGGGGAUUCCAAGUGUGCAUAUACCAUAUGCACUUUUUCGGAGUUUAAAAAGCUCCGGGAAUAAGGGGAGGGCAAGCCUGGUGUCAGCCGCCGCGGUAAUACCAGCUCCCCGAGUGGUUGGGAUGUUUAUUGGGCCUAAAGCAUCCGUAGCCGGUUCUGUAGGUCUCCCGUUAAAUUCAACGGCUCAACCGUUGAGCUGCCGGAGAUACCGCAGGGCUAGGAGGCGGGAGAGGCGGACGGUACUCCGUGGGUAGGGGCAAAAUCCUCUGAUCCACGGAAGACCACCAGUGGCGAAGGCGGUCUGCCAGAACGCGCUCGACGGUGAGGGGUGAAAGCUGGGGGAGCGAACCGGAUUAGAUACCCGGGUAGUCCCAGCUGUAAACGAUGCGAGCUAGGUGAUUGAGUGACCACGCGUUACUCAAGUGCCGCAUGGAAGCAGUUAAGCUCGCCGCCUGGGGAGUAUGGUCGCAAGACUGAAACUUAAAGGAAUUGGCGGGGGAGCAC
rnacentral:rRNA from 1 species